AUGAGUCAGCAGAUUUCCAUAGAGCAUGACUUUGCAUCAGCAGCACCAUGCUCCAGUGCUCUGGGAGAGUUUAUAGUCCUGAGAGUUGAAGACUGGAUGACUGACAGCUGUCCUUCAUCACAACAGAACACUUGGAAAUCUCCAGAGAAUCCAACUCCUCUCCUCUAUGAACAUCUGUCCCUCUGGAAUGAAGCCCACAAAAGCAUCAAGCUGCUUUCUGCUUUUGUCUCCUCAGAGUCCAGAGGUCAGGUCACAGUGACUCAGUCUGCAGCAGUGAGCUCUGCUGUGGGACGCUCCGUCUCCAUCUCAUGUAGGACCAGUCAGGGAGUAAAUGGCAACCGUUUAUCCUGGUACCAACAGAAAGAUGGACAACCUCCUAAACUCCUCAUUUAUGAUGCUACCCGCCGACAAUCAGGAAUCUCAGAUCGUUUUUCAGGCAGUGGAUCUGGAUCUGACUUCACUCUGACCAUCAGUGGAGUUCAGGCUGAAGAUGCUGCAGUUUAUUACUGUGCGAGUGUUCAUUAUAUAAACAGCCAGUGGAUGUUCACACAGUGAAAACCCGUCGUACAAAAACCUCCCUCAGUCAGGCUGAACAGAAACUAACAGCUGGAAGCUUCAGCAGUUCACUGAUGACAUAAACACGUGUAGCAACACUUUCAUCCUUCAAAACACUAAAUAUGAUAUUUCAUCUUAAUAUAAAAAUAAUUAAAUGUGCUGAAUUUAAUAAACCAUUUAGAUUUUAAAGAGUUGAUGAUUUUUUGUUAAAUCAGAGAAAAAAUUAAUGUAUGAAUAAAUAACUGAAAAGAAUGAAAUUGGUGGACAUAAAUA